UAGGGAAUCUUCGGCAAUGGGGGGAACCCUGACCGAGCAACGCCGCGUGAGUGAAGAAGGUUUUCGGAUCGUAAAGCUCUGUUGUUAAGGAAGAACGAGUGUGAGAAUGGAAAGUUCAUGCUGUGACGGUACUUAACCAGAAAGGGACGGCUAACUACGUGCCAGCAGCCGCGGUAAUACGUAGGUCCCGAGCGUUGUCCGGAUUUAUUGGGCGUAAAGCGAGCGCAGGCGGUUAGAAAAGUCUGAAGUGAAAGGCAGUGGCUCAACCAUUGUAGGCUUUGGAAACUGUUAAACUUGAGUGCAGAAGGUGAGAGUGGAAUUCCAUGUGUAGCGGUGAAAUGCGUAGAUAUAUGGAGGAACACCGGUGGCGAAAGCGGCUCUCUGGUCUGUAACUGACGCUGAGGCUCGAAAGCGUGGGGAGCGAACAGG
rnacentral:rRNA from 1 species